rfam:Sorghum bicolor cultivar BTx623 chromosome 1, whole genome shotgun sequence.
GUAGUCGGAUUUGCAUCAAUCCACAUGUGUUGGGGUGGGUUGAAGUGGAGCUUGAACUAAAUUUCACCCCAAUCCACUCCAACACAUGUGAAUUGAGGUGAAUUCAACA